CGGGUGCACUGAUCCGGCCGGGCCUUUCCCUCUGUGGAACCCCAUGGCCUUCACUGGCUGUGCGGGGGAAACAGGACUUUUACUGUGAAAAAAUUAGAGUGCUCCAGGCAGGCCUAUGCUCGAAUACAUUAGCAUGGAAUAAUAGAAUAGGACGCGUGGUUCUAUUUUGUUGGUUUCUAGGACCGCCGUAAUGAUUAAUAGGGACAGUCGGGGGCAUCAGUAUUCAAUUGUCAGAGGUGAAAUUCUUGGAUCUAUUGAAGACUAAUUACUGCGAAAGCAUUUGCCAAGGAUGUUUUCAUUGAUAAGGAACGAAAGUUAGGGGAUCGAAGACGAUCAGAUACCGUCGUAGUCUUAACUAUAAACUAUGCCGACUAGGGAUCGGACGAUGUUAUUUCUUGACGCGUUCGGCACCUUUCGAGAAAUCAAAGUGCUUGGGCUCCAGGGGGAGUAUGGUCGCAAGGCUGAAACUUAAAGAAAUUGACGGAAGGGCACCACCAGGGGUGGAACCUGCGGCUUAAUUUGACUCAACACGGGGAAACUCACCAGGUCCAGACACAGUGAGGAUUGACAGAUUGAGAGCUCUUUCUUGAUUCUGUGGGUGGUGGUGCAUGGCCGUUCUUAGUUGGUGGAGUGAUUUGUCUGCUUAAUUGCGAUAACGAACGAGACCUUAACCUGCUAAAUAGCCCGUACUGCUCUGGCAGUUCGCCGGCUUCUUAGAGGGACUAUCGG
rnacentral:rRNA from 1 species